rnacentral:lncRNA from 1 species
UUCAACUUGAGGAAUGAUAACAAAGGGAGAUCUGGUUGAGGGAAAAAUCCAAGGUAAUGCAUCAAUAUUGAAUUUCUCAUCACUCUUUCAAAUUUUAUUCUGACAUGGCCUUUCGCGGAACCAACAAAUCCUUUUGAACAUACAGGGACACUAGAAAGAAAAACCAUUCCUCACGCAAAAGCUCCAAGCUAGAGCCAAAAAGAAACAUAGAAAAAAAAAAUCACUCAACUUCCAGUGAUUAUCACUCCACAGAAUUUUGAAAAGAAAAUUUAAGCACAAACGGUGGGGUUUGCCAAGAGGUACUCUUCAACUGUCUUGAACAAUCCCAUAGCCCUAUCUUUUCCCUGCUCUCUGCACCUUCCUCAACAUGAUAUUCACUUGUCAUCUUGCAGACACAUCCAUCAUUAGUUGAUGCAAACUUCACCUCAUAGACAAUGAACUUGAUUUUGUCGAACUUGAUAUCGCUUUCAAUCAAAGUAUAUUUGCAAUAAAAGUUCUCAACAUCAAGAGCGUCAAUCUUGUGCACCUGUUACAUGAAUUCACAAGAGUGAAAAGAUUAAUUUUGAGAUUUGUGGUCUAUAAAUGAACUUGACAUGGUAGAUAAACAUAUAUUAUCCAACUUACUUUCGCCAAAGUUGGUCUACUUAAUGCUGCCAACUCCACCAUUUCCCUCAAUGAAUUCAACGCUCUUGAUGCCCCCAGGGACAAUCUUUGGAAUGAUGUUGUGUGAGUCAAGGACCAAAGCCUUGAACAUUCUCGAUGGAGCAACAACAGAUGCGAACUCUUGAGAGUAAGUGAUGACACCCAUGUUUGCUUGUAAGAAGCAAAUAGAAAUGAAUUCAACUAGGAAAUGGAAGGAUUUGGUGUUAUUGCUAUUAAAGAAGCUUGAGCUGAUGAAGAUAGUGAAGAGAAUUACUUGGUAUUUAUAGGCAAGUUGAGAGUUCAGCAGCCUAUCAUCAUUCAAUGUUCAAAGCACUCCGAAUUGGACCAUUCGUCCUUGCUUUAAGCGUUUCUUGAUUUCUUAUUGAGCGGAGCCACCGUUCAUCUAGAAGAUGAAGAAGAAAGACUUCAUUUUUCAAACACGAUGAAAAUCAACCUUGUAUUAUAAGUUAUUAUGUUAUGAUCUUCUUAUAACCUUGUUAACAUAGAAGAUGCCCAGUUUGUUAUGUAGGAAUUCAAAGAUAUUCAUCAUCAUAACUACUACAUUCUCAAGCAACAAUUCUCGUGAUUAAAUAGGACUGCAAAUAUUAUACUGUUGUAGUACAUGAAGUCCUUACGUAAUAUUGCCUAAGGCACUACUUGAUUAAUAAAACUAUUGAAGAUUGUAAACGAUGAACAACGAAAUUGGUCAACUUCCAAAUCACCCCUUUCGAAUAUUAAGAUGUAGAUCAGAAGUGUCUUUUGAAUGACAAAGACUAAUACAACUAUGCAUGACUUCAUAAUUUUGUGGAUUAGUCUUUUUCUAGAUAACACCAAAAAUGGUCUCAAGCAGGCAAGAGUCUCGCUUAUCGGUGGUGGCCAGCUGGGUGUUGCGACUCAAUCCCAUUCACACGGGUCGAGCCCCAGAAGAAAUACCCGUGUGAUGAUGGCUUCCUUAUACAUCAUUGAACAUAGUCUGGUCGGAUCUGGUAUGGGUUUAGUUUAUCCUCAAACCACAUAUCUACUAGAGGGUUCCUCCACUGAUAUCACUAUAACAACUAACAUCUCACCCGGAUCCCCGAAGGCCAAGAGCUUAAACAAUAUUCGAAAUAAUUGUGUAAGAUGUUGACUGUUUGAGGUAUGUUAACUUAUAUAUCAAUCAAUAGGGUAUUUCUCAUCAGGUAAUUACAGAACUGUAUAUGAGAUUUUCACUUCAUACGACUCCGGAUUUGGAAUGUCACAAGAGAUCUCUCGAAUGCAUUAUAUUGCUCCAGCUAAAUGUGGCACCAAAGUUCCUCUGUGAAAGGCAAUUUAGCUCAAAAUAUUCGCAUCAAGGAUAGGACACGGAACUUGUAAUUCUAUUUUAGUUAUAAUGACCUCGCUUACUUGUUGUGAAGAGUUUGUGGUUGUAGUAUUUUAUUUUUGAUUGGACAUUGUUAACGAAUACUUCCGGUACUAAUUACGCAUACUAAAUUUGGAAUAAUUCAAUUAUCAAAACGCUAAUUGCAAAUGACACAAGAAUAGUCGGAGCACGAGAAAAUGUAAAACUUGUGGGAUUGGUUAUUCAAUAAGUGCUCUAGGAACACUUAUUAACAAAAUUCUUUUUAAUAUGUAUAUUCCACUAUAUAACAUAAUCAUAAUCUCAUAUAUCAAUAAUCAUCUAGAGUCCAUAUGGUACAAUCAUGGCUGAUUUGUAAUUCUGUCGGGUUGUAUUGCAGUUAUGCUGCUAAGUGCUACAAGUCAUGUGCUUAAAAAUAUGUGUUUUAAAGUUCCAGUACCUCAAAAUCGGGUGACACAACUUCCUAAAAACUGUUGUAACUAUGGAGUUGUUGUUAGAGCUGAGCAAAUUGCUCGGUGGCUCGAGAACCCAAACCAAACCGGCCAAAUUUUUCAAGCUCUUACAAGCCUGGGCCGGGUCACCGGGGUUGAAAUAAGUAUUUAAUAUGGUCCAUUUGGUCUUUUAGGAUUCAAGGUACAUGAUGGAAAAUUCUGGGGUUACAUUUGGUAGUCGAAAUAAAAUUAAGAAUAUAAUAUAACAAAAUCCCUAAAUUUCUUACUCUAUCCUAUCUAGUCUUAUCAUUGCUAGAAAUUUUUUCAAAUUUCUUGUGAAAGUCUUUUCUUGAUGUCAAGAAACAAUUUGAAGGCAGUGUUAACACCCCAUUUUGUUCCGUGGAUAUUGUCAAAAUACCAAAUCAGCAUCUCUAAAAUGUAUUAUAAGGAACUUUUAUCACUCUCUCCGACAAAGUAACACCAAAACAGAGUGCUCUGUUUUUCUUAUGCGCUCCAAAUUCUUUUGCCUGCCUUUCGGCUCACAUGCUAUGCUUUUCGGAAGCCACAAGCAUUAGCAUCAAUGCCGUUAAGUUUCCAAGUUUUCAGGUCCCGAAAAUUUGCAAAGUUAUUGGGGUGGGAAGUGAAGUCAUAGUAAGUGAAAAUAAAUGUUUGAUAAUGCAUCAAUCAUUGAAUUGCUCAUUGCUUUUUGAAGUUUUAUUCUGACAUGACCUUACACGUAACCAACAAAUCCUUUUGAACAUACAAAUACCUAGAAGAACCAUUGCUCAAGCAAAAGCUCCAUGCUAGAGCCAAACAGACACCAAAAAAAAAAAAAAAAAAAUCACUCUGAGCUCCGGGAUUCUCACUCCAAAGGAUUUUGAAAAGACAAUUUAAGCACAAACAACGGGGUUUGCCAAGAGGUACUCUUCAACUGUCUUGAACAAUCCCAUAGCCCUAUCUUUUCCCUG